rnacentral:rRNA from 1 species
GACAGAGGGUGCGAACGUUGUUCGGAAUUACUGGGCGUAAAGCGCGUGUAGGCGGCAACGCAAGUCGGGCGUGAAAUCCCACGGCUCAACCGUGGAAGUGCACUCGAAACUGCGUAGCUAGAGUCCUGGAGAGGAAGGUGGAAUGCUUGGUGUAGAGGUGAAAUUCGUAGAUAUCAAGCGGAACACCGGUGGCGAAGGCAGCCUUCUGGACAGUGACUGACGCUGAGACGCGAAAGCGUGGGGAGCAAACAGG